ACAGUAUGAGGUAGUAGAUUGUAUAGUUUUGGGGUAGUGAUUUUGCCCUGUUUGGAAGAUAACUAUACAAUCUAUUGCCUUCCCUGA
rfam:Gasterosteus aculeatus cont1.006180, whole genome shotgun sequence.